CGGCAACGGAUAUCUCGGCUCUCGCAUCGAUGAAGAACGUAGCGAAAUGCGAUACUUGGUGUGAAUUGCAGAAUCCCGUGAACCAUCGAGUCUUUGAACGCAAGUUGCGCCCGAAGCCAUUAGGCCGAGGGCACGCCUGCCUAGGCGUCACACCCCGUUGCCCC
rnacentral:rRNA from 1 species